rnacentral:rRNA from 1 species
GACGAACCGUACGAACGUUAUUCGGAAUCACUGGGCUUAAAGGGUGCGUAGGCUGCGCAGCAAGUUGGGUGUGAAAUCCCUCGGCUUAACCGAGGAACUGCGCCCAAAACUGCUGUGCUCGAGGGAGACAGAGGUGAGCGGAACUUAGGGUGGAGCGGUGAAAUGCGUUGAUAUCCUAAGGAACACCGGUGGCGAAAGCGCCUCACUGGGUCUCUUCUGACGCUGAGGCACGAAAGCUAGGGGAGCGAACGGG